rnacentral:rRNA from 1 species
GAUGAACGCUGGCGGCGUGCCUAAUACAUGCAAGUCGAGCGAACGGACGAGAAGCUUGCUUCUCUCAUGUUAGCGGCGGACGGGUGAGUAACACGUGUAUCCCCUACCUAUAAGACUGGGAUCACUUCGGGACUCCGGAGCUAAUACCGGAUAAUAUUUUGCACCGCAUGGUUCAAUAGUGAAAUACGGUCUUGCUGUCACUUAUAGAUGGAUACGGGCUGCAUUAGAUAGUUGGUAAGGUAACAGCUUACCACGGCAACGAUGCAUAGCCGACCUGAGAGGGUGGUAGGCCACACUGGAACGGAGCCACGGUCCAGGCUACUACGGGAGGCAGCAGUAGGGUACGUGCGGCAAUAGGCGAAAGCCUGACGGAGCAAGGCCGCGUGAGUUAUGAAGGUCUUCGGAUCGUAAAAAUCUGUUAUUGGGGAAGAACUGAUGUGUAAGUAAAUGAGCAGAUCUUGACGGUACCUAAUCAGAAAGCAACGGCUAACUACGUG